rnacentral:rRNA from 1 species
CCAGACUCCUACGGGAGGCAGCAGUAGGGAAUCUUUCACAAUGGGCGAAAGCCUGAUGGAGCAACGCCGCGUGCAGGAUGAAGGCCUUCGGGUUGUAAACUGCUUUUAUAAGCGAGAAAUAUGAUGGUAACUUAUGAAUAAGGAUCGGCUAACUACGUGCCAGCAGCCGCGGUAAUACGUAGGGGGCAAGCGUUAUCCGGAUUUACUGGGUGUAAAGGGGGCGCAGACGGCAGCGCAAGCCAGGAGUGAAAGCCCGGGGCGCAACCCUGGGACUGCUCUGGAAACUGUAAAGCUGGAGUGCGGGAGGGGCAGGCGGAAUUCCUGGUGUAGCGGUGAAAUGCAUAGAUAUCGCGCAGAACCCCGAUUGCGAAGGCAGCGUGCCGUGCCGCCACUGACGCUGAGGCACGAAAGCGCGGGGAUCGAACAGGAUUAGAUACCCCCGUA